GACAGAGAGAGAGAAAACAGGUGAUAAAAGUGAGAGAAAAUGAUAUAAAGAUGGAGCGACUUUCAGGUAACAGAGGCAAAAAGGCAAAGGAAUAAGGUGCCUCACCAGUAGCCUUCUACUUGCUGAUGACUGGGUUCCUGUUUGAUCCUGUUUACAAGAUUCUGAAGAUUGAAAAUAGCCUCAACUCUUCAACACUGGGAGGAGCAGAAAGUGCUGAAUACCUCGUUGAGUACUGUGCUCCAUUCAGGUCUGGAUGCCAG